CUUGAAGAAUGUGUAACUUUAUUUUGCAUUUCUCUAAUAUAGGAAAGAAGUCUCUCAUUAGCAAUUUGCAAAUCCUGCAUGCCUUGUGUGAGUAUUUCAACCCUGUGGUUUAAAUAGGUAAUUUGGGAAUUCGCAUCUGCUGGUUCCAUUUUUAGGCUUGGUGAUUCUGUUAUGCUACUUGGGUGAUUUGGAUUGGAACUCAACUGCAGCUUGUAGAA